rfam:Cellulomonas sp. B6 contig_163, whole genome shotgun sequence.
GCUGCUCCGCCCGACGAGACCUCCUCCCGUCCGCUCUGACGCCACUUCCCCGGCGCCAGAGGGUCGGUGGGGGAUCUGGCCGGACGGAGGAGGGACC